GGUUGAUGGAUUCUGUGAGGCGAUUCAUGCCGAUUGACUGCGCAUGAGCUUCCCGGAACACAUCCAAGAGGGCCACCUUGAAUGCCUUCAACCUGGAUUCACUCAACUCCACUUUCUGGGAUUCCUUGGUCUCCUGUGAGUCUGCCGUCUUUGGAGUGUGUACUUGAGGCAUUUCCUCCUCUGUGUCACUGAAGUCAUAGGGGUCGUAUGAAUCCCCAUCUUUGGCAUCUGGCUGGCGAGUCUUCCUUCUCUUCCUCUUCUGCUCCUGGUCCUCUUGGCUUUUCU
rnacentral:misc_RNA from 1 species